rnacentral:rRNA from 1 species
UACGAAGGGGGCAAGCGUUGUUCGGAAUUACUGGGCGUAAAGGGCGCGUAGGCGGCUUAUCAAGUCAGGCGUGAAAUUCCCGGGCUCAACCUGGGGGCUGCGCUUGAUACUGAUUGGCUUGAAUGCGGGAGAGGAUAGUGGAAUUCCCAGUGUAGAGGUGAAAUUCGUAGAUAUUGGGAAGAACACCAGUGGCGAAGGCGGCUCACUGGCCCGGUACUGACGCUGAGGUGCGAAAGCGUGGGGAGCAAACAGG